rnacentral:lncRNA from 1 species
GUUCAUUCAGCCAUUGAAACCCAGCAGAGGAGCAGGCAGGGAAGGGAGGGUGGAAGGACAGAGGCUCCCCUUUCUUCUGGGCUUGGUUCCGGAGGAGGCCAAAAGAGAGUUUACCAGGGAAGCAAUUUGAAGGCAAAAGUCCACUCUAAAGUGAAGGACUUUCUCCCCUACUGUGAUGACGAUCCCAGUAUUUACUGCCACCAGUAUUGAUCAAAGGUACCAGAUCUCCUGUCAAGAGACAUUGUACUGAAUGGAAGAACUUCUUGAUAUUCUCCUAAUAAAGGAUACAAAGUCUUCCCGGAUAACCUGGAUGGUGAAAACUGUUCCUUCAUGGAAUGUCACCAUGUGGCACAAUCAUACUUCACUUGAGCCAUAGAAAAUUCAAACACUCCCAAAACAACUAGUACACCAUGGAGAGAGAAAAUCUAAUGGCUUCAUGUUAUAGUUUGAAUUUGAAAUGCUCCCCACAGGUUCAUGUAUUUAAUUUGGUGAUACCAUUUGGGAAUACUGUGUGACAUGUAGGGGUCACACCUUGAUGGGAGAAGUGCAUCACGAGGGGCGGGCCUUGAGAAGCCUAGUCCACUUCCUGUUUACUCUACAUGUUUCACAACUAUGUAUGCCAUGUGACCAGCUGUCCUCUGGCUCCAGCUGCCACUCCCUCCAUGUUGUGAUGGAAAACAGUCCCUUGAACUAUAAAAGAGAAUAAACAGCCAAGUCCCAACUCACCAAAA